rnacentral:rRNA from 1 species
GACGAACGCUGGCGGCGUGCUUAACACAUGCAAGUCUACGAGAACGAGGUAGCAAUAUCUUUAGUAAAGUGGCGCACGGGUGCGUAACACGUAAGCAAUCUACCUUUGGGUUCGGAAUAACUUCGAGAAAUCGAGGCUAAUACCGGAUAAUGCAGCGGCAUCGCAUGGUGAUGUUGUUAAAGUUUGAGUAAUGCCUAAAGAUGAGCUUGCGUCUGAUUAGCUAGUUGGUAGGGUAAUGGCCUACCAAGGCAACGAUCAGUAGCUGGUCUGAGAGGAUGAUCAGCCACACUGGAACUGAGACACGGUCCAGACUCCUACGGGAGGCAGCAGUGAGGAAUAUUGGGCAAUGCCCGCAAGGGUGACCCAGCAACGCCGCGUGGAGGAUGAAGGCCGUAAGGUUGUAAACUCCUG